AAUGAAGUGCCUGAAAAAAGGAAUGUCUUGAUACGACUUUUAUGUAAGUUUGUUACCUUCAUUA
rnacentral:tRNA from 1 species